UUAAAAGAUACUUUACAACAUAAAGACCUUUUUUCUUGAGUACUUUAAUAAAUACUCAAAUGAAAUAUUAAGUACAUGUUUUUUGACAAGUAAAUACAUAAUUCCAAAAGUUGGAUUUCUCUUUAUGUGUAUUAUAGAAUAGUGAACUGGAACAAGAAAAGGAAGCUUCUAUGACAUCGACCAACUCUCAAAAGCAACAAGCAGUGGUCAGUAACAAAGACAAAAAAUGUAUUGUUGACAGUGUAGACAAAGAAUAAUGGAUGUAUACAGUAUCAGCUUCUAUUAUUAAAUUAAACACUUAUUAAAAGGUAGUAUUUUAUCAUAAAUACACAUAAAACAUCACUGAAUAUUAUGUAGUUGUAACUAAUGUGUUAAACCCACCAUACCACUCAAUAAAUGAUUAUUUAUCAUAGGCUUUUAUCUACGAAGUUUAAGUUAACUUCAAAUUAUAAAUUACAUUUUUGUAAGUUUGACUUGUCAACUUUAUGAUUAUAGGUUUAAUUGAGUCGAUUAAUUUUCAAAACAAUCCAUUACAAACUACAUUUUUCAAUAUAUUAACAAACACUUUGAUGCUUCAGUCACAUGGCACAUAAUUUUAUGCAAUAUUAUACAUUUUCAGCAUGGAAAUACAGAAUCAUAAAAUGAAGUGUAAGAGGAGCCAUGUAAAUAAUAUGUUAAUGCUGGUUAGAUUAAUGUAUGUAUCUCAUUUAAUACCAUUAAAUGUAAAUGCAGUAAAUGUCUAAUUUUGUAAAUUGCUUAUCAUUUGAAAAUAUGUUUUGUGUGACAACCCUCAGCUCUGCAAUUUGUGGAAAAAGAAAGACACAGAGGUUGUGGUGUCAGUCAUCCCAUCGCAGAUCAGAGGGAACAACUUUCUUAUUCACCACAGUGAACUAAGGACACUUAGGCCACAUCAGUGGCUUACAGGCGAGAUCAUUGAGUGUUUAUUGCACAUCAACAUCAACAAGAUGGGCAAAGGAAGUUCUCUCUUCUUAAUGAAUCACUAUGUCACUGGUGUGAUUCUGUUUGGAAAAUGAGAGGUUGUCAGAAGGAAUAGUCUGUCAAAGAUAAACUUUGACAACUACAAYGGAAUCAUUUCCUUUGUCAACAUUGACAAUGUACACUGGAAGUUUUUGCAUAUAAAUGCAGCUGAUGGCCUAGUGUACUUGGUGGACCCUGCAAAAAGUUCAACAGAGCAGCAAGAUUCUGAACGUGCUGCACAAAGWUUCAAGUAAGGGUUGAGGGGUGUGUUGUCUGGUGGCAUCUUUMCCUUUCAGGUAUUGAUGACCUGUUGUAGUUAUGCAUUGAUGGCUGUCCAAAUAGUUGCUACAUCUUUMGCUGUGGGUCAACUCACUAUGCUUGUACCAAARUUGAUUAURGGGCACCUUACACAGUGAUGAUUWUUGAAAAAUACAGAUUAAUUGUAGACAGUGGAAUGCAGCAAAUACAACAUUUAUUCAUAACAACACGAGGUGUGGACACUCUACAACACUCAGGCUUCCUCAUUGUGACUUGACUUGUUUCAGCAUG